UACUAACUCUGGCGGCGUGCUUAACACAUGCAAGUCGAACGGAAAGGCCCUGCUUUUGUGGGGUGCUCGAGUGGCGAACGGGUGAGUAACACGUGAGUAACCUGCCCUUGACUUUGGGAUAACUUCAGGAAACUGGGGCUAAUACCGGAUAGGAGCUCCUGCUGCAUGGUGGGGGUUGGAAAGUUUCGGCGGUUGGGGAUGGACUCGCGGCUUAUCAGCUUCUUGGUGGGGUAGUGGCUUACCAAGGCUUUGACGGGUAGCCGGCCUGAGAGGGUGACCGGCCUCAUUGGGACUGAGAUACGCCCCAGACUGCUACGGGAGGCAGCAGUGGGGAAUAUUGCACAAUGGGCGGAAGCCUGAUGCAGCAACGCCGCGUGCGGGAUGACGGCCUUCGGGUUGUAAACCGCUUUCGCCUGUGACGAAGCGUGAGUGACGGUAAUGGGUAAAGAAGCACCGGCUAACUACGUG
rnacentral:rRNA from 1 species